GCAGGAUGAUCUGAGUCCGUGAUUUGGUACUUGGAUUAAUCAAGAUCCGAGAUCUUAGGGCUAUUUGUUGUGUUGUUGUGAUGGAUUGGGUAUGGGUGAUUGAUUUGAGUUUGUGGGAAUUGUAGGGAAUGGGAUUGUGAAAUAGUUUUAGUAUGUGGGGCUGUUUGAUUUGGAAUUUUAAUAUUAUUUAAUUAUUUAACUAUAUAAAUAAUUCUAUGAUGAUCUUGGAAAAUCUCAGGAAUAUCUUGGGAAUAUCAUGAUCCAACCUGAUCCAAUCUUGGGAAAGAGCCAAGGAGCUGUCUUGGAAAACCUUGUGAAGGAGCCAAAGAGCUGUCUUGAAAAUUUUGAGAAUAUUUUGGUCCAAUCUGGUUCAAUCUGAGGAAGGAGCCAAGGAGUGCUUAACAGGAAUUUGUGGAAGCAGGAAAUGCUGCCACGUAUACCCUACAAACUUCCAAUUAAUGUAUUUGUAUGGAUAUUUUGGUCCAACCUGGUCCAACCUUAGAAAGGAGCCAAAGAGUGCUUGACAGGGAUUUGUGGAAGUAGGAAAUGUCGCCAUGUAUACCCUACAAAUUGCCAAUUAAUGUAUUUGUAUGGAUUUUAAUAUUAUUUAAUUAUUUAACUAUAUAAAUAAUUCUAUGAUGAUUUUGUCUUGGAAAACCUCAAGAAUAUCUUGGAAAUAUCAUAAUCCAACUUGGUCGAACAUUGGGAAGGAGCUAAGGAGCUGUCUUGGAAAAUUUUGGGAAUGAAGGAGCCGUCUUGGAAAACCUUGGGAAGGAGCCAAAGAGCUGUCUUGAAUAUCUUAGGAAUAUUUUGGUCCAAUCUGAUUCAACCUUAGGAAGGAGCCAAGGAAAUGCUGCCACGUAUACCCUACAAACUGCCAAUUAAUAUAUUUAUAUGAAUUUUAAUAUUAUUUAAUUAUUUAACAAUAUAAAUAAUUCUAUGAUGAUUUUGUCUUAGAAAACUUCAGAAAUAUCUUGAAAAUAUCAUGAUCCAACCUGGUCGAACCUUGGGAAGGAGCGAAGGAGCUGUCUUGGAAAACCUUGGGAAGGAAAGAGCUGUCAGGAAUAUUUUGGAAAUAUCAUGAUCCAAUCUGGUCGAACCUUGGGAAGGAGCGAAGGAGCUGUCUUGAAAAACCUUGGGAAGGGAAGAGCUGUUUUGAAAAACCUCGUGAAUCAGCCAAGGAGCUGUCUUGGAUACAUUGGGAAUAUUUUGGUCCAAUUUGGUCCAACCUUAGGAAGGAGCCAAGGAGUACUUGACAGGAAUUUGUGAAAGCAAGAAAUGUUGCCACGUAUAUCCUACAAACUGCCAAUUAAUGUAUUUGUAUGGAUUAAUGUAUUUGCAUGGACGUAUGGAUUGUAUGUAUAUG
rnacentral:lncRNA from 1 species